rnacentral:rRNA from 1 species
GACGGAGGGUGCAAGCGUUGUUCGGAAUUACUGGGCGUAAAGGGCGCGUAGGCGGUCUGUUAAGUUCGGUGUGAAAGCCCCCGGCUCACCUGGGGAACUGCGCCGGAAACCGACAGACUCGAGUACCGGAGAGGAGGGUGGAAUUCCUGGUGUAGCGGUGAAAUGCGUAGAUAUCAGGAGGAACACCUGUGGCGAAAGCGGCUCACUGGACCAUAACUGACGCUGAUGCACGAAAGCUAGGGGAGCAAACAGG